AACGAACGCUGGCGGCAUGCCUAACACAUGCAAGUCGAACGAGACCUUCGGGUCUAGUUGCGCACGGGUGCGUAACGCGUGGGAACCUGCCCGUAGGCUCGGAAUAACUCCUUGAAGGGGGUGCUAAUACCGGAAAAUGUCUUCGGACCAAAGAUUUAUCGUCCUUGUAUGGGCCCGCGUUGGAUUAGCUUGUUGGUAGGGUAAAAGCCUACCAAGGCGUCGAUACAUAGCUGGUCUGAGAGGAUGAUCAGCCACACUGGGACUGGGACCCGGCCCAGAAUCCUGCGGGAGGCAGGAGUGGGGAAUAUAGGACAAUGGGCGAGAGCCUGAUCCAGCAAUGCCGCGUGAGUGAUGAUGGCCUGAGAGAUGUAAAGCUCGUUUACCCGGGAUGAUAAUGACAGUACCGGGAGAAUAAGCACCGGCUAACUCCGUG
rnacentral:rRNA from 1 species